CUGGACUGGGCCUGACUCCCCCUUCUUCCUCCAUGGCCCUCCAUGGGGGCUAACCUAUCACCUAAUCUCAGCCUUUCAACUUCAUCAUCUCCAUCUCCAGCUCUCACACCACUCUUCAGGACCAAAUUUUCUCUCCCUUCUACGCUAACUGUCCCCAGAAGUGGCCUCUGCCUCUAGUCUGGCCUCCCUCCAGGCCCCCCUCUCCAAAGCUGCCCGGCACCACCUCUGCAGAAAUUCUGCAGUUCAUUCACCAAAAAGAAACACAUGUGGCUCUUAAGCAAAUGAAAAGGUGACCAGCCUCACGCAUCGUAAGAGAAACGCAAACUCUAACUACACCCAAAUUCCUUUGUUUUGUUUAGUUUUUGCCUUUCAGAUGGACAAAAAUCAAAAUAGGUGGAAACCAGGGGCUGGUGAGCCUGAGGAGAAACAGCCCUGUUGACUGUGUGGGGGCCUGGUACCUGGCACAGUCUCCAAGAAGGACAAGCUGACAGAGCUGACAAAAUGACCACUGCAAGCUGGGCACGGUGGUGCGUGCCUGUAGUCCCAGCCACGCAGGAGGCCAAGGCGGGAGGAUGGCUUAAGCCCAGGAGGUCGAGGCUGCAGUCAGCUAUGAUGACACCAUUGUACAUUGUACUCCAGCCUGGGUGACAGAGCAGGACCCUGUCUCUAAAAUAACAAUAAUAAGACACCACUGCAUGUAUCUUUUGCCCCCCAGUCCUCCCAAGUCCCUUCUGGGAAUGUAUUCCGCAGCAGCGCUCGUGCAUGUGUGAAAGGGCUUUUGUACAGAUGACUCACUGCGGCACGGCCUGUCUUGAGAAAGGGCUGGAAGCAACCUGAAGGUCCCUCUGCCAAGAAGUGCAUCUGUAAAUUACCAUACAUCCUUGUGCUGGAAUACCGUGCAGCUGUGAAAAUGAGGACACACUCUAUGUAUUGAUGUAGAGUGGUCUCCAAAAUAUAACGUUAACUGGAAAACGCAAGGUGUCAAACAGCAUGAACAGCAGAGGCUCAAUGAAAGGGCUUCUCACAGUCCCGAGCAGGACGGCCCUCCGCCAGCUACC
rnacentral:lncRNA from 1 species